ensembl:lncRNA
GAGGCUUUAGGGGUUAGUUAUCAUAAUUUAGAAGUUAGGGGUUAGUGAUUAUGAUUUAGGCCUAGGGGUUAGUGAUUAUGAUCUAGGGUUUCGGGGUUAGUGAUUAUGAUCUAGGGGUUAGUGAUUAUGGUCUAGGGGUUAAGGGUUAGUGAUUAUGAUCUAGGGGUUAAGGGUUAGUGAUUAUGAUCUAGGGGUUAGGGAUUAUGGUCUAGGGGUUAGUGAUUAUGGUCUAGGAGUUAGGGGGUAGUGAUUAUGGUCUAGGAGUUAGGGGUUAGUGAUUAUGGUCUAGGGGUUAGGGGUUAGUGAUUAUGAUCUAGGAGUUAGGGGUUAGUGAUUAUGGUCUAGGGGUUAGGGGUUAGUGAUUAUGGUCUAGGGGUUAGGGGUUAGUGAUUAUGGUCUAGGGGUU